rnacentral:rRNA from 1 species
GCGGGGCUAUCUGCAGUCGAGCGAAAGAUAAGGAGCUUGCUCCUUUGACGUUAGCGGCGGACGGGUGAGUAACACGUGGGUAACCUACCUAUAAGACUGGGAUAACUUCGGGAAACCGGAGCUAAUACCGGAUAACAUUUGGAACCGCAUGGUUCUAAAGUGAAAGAUGGUUUUGCUAUCACUUAUAGAUGGACCCGCGCCGUAUUAGCUAGUUGGUAAGGUAACGGCUUACCAAGGCGACGAUACGUAGCCGACCUGAGAGGGUGAUCGGCCACACUGGAACUGAAACACGGUCCAGACUCCUACGGGAGGCAGCAGUAGGGAAUCUUCCGCAAUGGGCGAAAGCCUGACGGAUAACCCCCUCGUGAGUGAUGAAGGGUUUCAACCUCAAAAACCUCUUGUUUUAGGGGAAAAACAAAUGUGUAAUUAACCUGUGCGCCUUUUCGCCCGGCCACCUAAUCCAAAAAGCUCUCCGGCUUAUAUUAUCGUCUCCCAUCCACCCGGGGGGAAAUAACCGUAGGGCGGGACAAACCUCUUUUUCCCGGAAUAUUAUUGGGUGCGCUUAAAACGCCUCCCCGUAAGGGGCGGUUUCUCCCCUAAUUUUCCUAAAUCGUGGAAAAGCCCCCCCCCGCCCUCACCCCCCGUGGGGAGGGGUUCCUUUUUGGGAAACCCUUGGGGUAAAACUCUUUUAUUUUUCCCCAACAAACAUAAACAAGUGGGAACUCCCCCUUGCUGUCAUCCCGUGAAAAAACGGUCCCCCAACAAUUUUUGGUGGAGAACCCCCCCCCGUUGGCCAAAACGGGCAACCCUUUCUUGGUCUUGGUACUUUCAACACCAAUCUUGUCGGUAAAAAUUGCGGGCGGGCUUACA